rnacentral:rRNA from 2 species
GAUGAACGCUGGCGGCGUGCCUAAUACAUGCAAGUCGAGCGAACAGACGAGGAGCUUGCUCCUCUGACGUUAGCGGCGGACGGGUGAGUAACACGUGGAUAACCUACCUAUAAGACUGGGAUAACUUCGGGAAACCGGAGCUAAUACCGGAUAAUAUAUUGAACCGCAUGGUUCAAUAGUGAAAGACGGUUUUGCUGUCACUUAUAGAUGGAUCCGCGCCGCAUUAGCUAGUUGGUAAGGUAACGGCUUACCAAGGCAACGAUGCGUAGCCGACCUGAGAGGGUGAUCGGCCACACUGGAACUGAGACACGGUCCAGACUCCUACGGGAGGCAGCAGUAGGGAAUCUUCCGCAAUGGGCGAAAGCCUGACGGAGCAACGCCGCGUGAGUGAUGAAGGUCUUCGGAUCGUAAAACUCUGUUAUUAGGGAAGAACAAAUGUGUAAGUAACUAUGCACGUCUUGACGGUACCUAAUCAGAAAGCCACGGCUAACUACGUGCCAGCCGCCGCGGUAA